AUGGCACUUUUUAAUCCAUAUCCACCUUGUGUGCAAUGUCAGUUGUUCUCUCUUUUGAGAAUGACCAAACAUCAACUUAUUCUUUAACUCUUUGUCUGAAAAAUAUUAUGAAUAAAAUAAUUCAAAAUACAACUUUCAACAACGGAUCUCUUGGCUCUCGCGUCGAUGAAGAACGCAGCGAAAUGCGAUACGUAAUGUGAAUUGCAGAAUUCAGUGAAUCAUCGAAUCUUUGAACGCAUAUUGCGCUCUUUGGUAUUCCGAAGAGCAUGCUUGUUUGAGUAUCAGUAAACACCUCAAAGACUUCAAUUUGUUUUGAAUGGCUUUGGACUUGAGCAAUCCCAACACCAGUCUUUACGAUCGGUGGAGGGUUGCUUGAAAUGCAGGUGCAGCUGGACAUUCUCCUGAGCUAAAAGCAUAUUUAUUUAGUCCCGUCAAACGGAUUAUUACUUUUGCUGCAGCUAACAUAAAGGGAGUUUGACCGUAUUGGCUGACUGAUGCAGGAUUUCACAAGGGUCGGCAACGAUUCUUGUAAAACUCGAUCUCAAAUCAAGUAAGACUACCCGCUGAACUUAAGCAUAUCAAUAAGCGGAGGAAAAGAAACUAACAAGGAUUCCCCUAGUAACGGCGAGUGAAGCGGGAUGAGCUCAAAUUUAAAAUCUGGCUGGUUUACUAGUCCGAAUUGUAGUUUAUAGAAGCGUUUUUCGGUGGCAGCCUGGGUAUAAGUCCUUUGGGAAUAGGGUAUCAUAGAGGGUGAGAAUCCCGUCUUUGACUCAGUGCAUGCUACUGUGUGAUACCGUUUUCAAA
rnacentral:rRNA from 1 species